GAUGAACGCUGGCGGCGUGCUUAACACAUGCAAGUCGAACGAAGGCUUUACGACAGAACUCUUCGGAGGGAAGAUGGAAAGACUUAGUGGCGGACGGGUGUGUAACGCGUGGGUAACCUGCCCCAUACAGGGGAAUAACAGCCGGAAACGGCUGCUAAUGCCGCAUAAGCGCACAGAGCCGCAUGGCACGGUGUGAAAAGCUCCGGCAGUAUGGGAUGGGCCCGCGUCUGAUUAGCUGGUUGGUAAGGUAACGGCUUACCAAGGCGACGAUCAGGAGCCGGCUUGAGAGAGUGGACGGCCACAUUGGGACUGAGACACGGCCCAAACUCCUACGGGAGGCAGCAGUGGGGAAUAUUGCACAAUGGGGGAAACCCUGAUGCAGCGACGCCGCGUGAAGGAAGAAGUAUUUCGGUAUGUAAACUUCUAUCAGCAGGGAAGAAGAAAGACGGUACCUGACUAAGAAGCUCCGGCUAAAUACGUGCCAGCCGCCGCGGUAACAC
rnacentral:rRNA from 1 species